CGGCGGACGGGUGAGUAACACGUGGGUAACCUACCUAUAUGACUGGGACAACUUCGGGAAACCGGAGCUAAUACCGGAUAAGAUAUCGAACCGCAUGGUUCGAUAGUGAAAGAUGGUUUUGCUAUCACUUAUAGAUGGACCCGCGCCGUAUUAGCUAGUUGGUGAGGUAACGGCUCACCAAGGCAACGAUACGUAGCCGACCUGAGAGGGUGAUCGGCCACNCUGGAACUGAGACACGGUCCAGACUCCUACGGGAGGCAGCAGCC
rnacentral:rRNA from 1 species